GCCUGCGUGGCUCAGUCCGUUGAGCGUCUGACUUCAGCUCAGGUCAUGAUCUCACAGUUUGUGGGUUCGAACCCCGUGCCGGGCU
rnacentral:tRNA from 1 species